UAUUAGGUUGGUGCAAAAGUAAUUGCAGUUUUUGCAAUUGAAAGUAUUGCAGAAACCGCAUUUAAUUGCAAAAACCGCAAUUACUUUUGCACCAACCUAAUA
rfam:Homo sapiens chromosome X, GRCh38 reference primary assembly.